UCAUGUAAGAUCAACAUAGAAAACGCUUUCAAUGAAAGGGGAAUGCCAAUAUGCCUUAUCUGAAACGAGUGUUGCUGCUUCUUGU
rnacentral:tRNA from 1 species